rnacentral:rRNA from 1 species
UACGUAGGGGACUAGCGUUGUUCGGAAUUACUGGGCGUAAAGCGCACGUAGGCGGCUUCUUAAGUCGGUGGUGAAAUCCUGGAGCUCAACUCCAGAACUGCCUUCGAUACUGGGAAGCUCGAGUCCGGGAGAGGUGAGUGGAACUGCGAGUGUAGAGGUGAAAUUCGUAGAUAUUCGCAAGAACACCAGUGGCGAAGGCGGCUCACUGGCCCGGUACUGACGCUGAGGUGCGAAAGCGUGGGGAGCAAACAGG